GCACAUACAAGUUUUGAUUGACAGAUUCACACGUGAAGUGAAAUAAUAAAAAUCUCCUGUAACAAUUUUUACAUACCUUUAUGUGUCUCAACUUGUGCUAAAUAUGGUUGUACGUGUUGUGAAAUUAGUCGCUUGUGUGGUGAUAAUAAUGGCUGGAAUACGUUUUAUAAGAGGAAUUUGAAGUUCGAUAUUCCCUGAAAUCUUAUCGGAAAUGCAUACUAGGUGCAUUUUGAAGAUUUUCAUAUGGUAUCAAUAAAGUUUUGUGGAAGGUUUUGCAUAAAUCAAAUAAUACCGACCCGAUGUAACAUAAUGUUUUCGUUUUAAAUUCAUUUGGAGCCAAUAGCAUCAAAUUAAAUGAUUAUAAGAAA